rnacentral:rRNA from 1 species
GACGAACGCUGGCGGCGUGCUUAACACAUGCGAGUCGAACGGAAAGGCCCUGCUUUUGUGGGGUGCUCGAGUGGCGAACGGGUGAGUAACACGUGAGUAACCUGCCCUUGACUUUGGGAUAACUUCAGGAAACUGGGGCUAAUACCGGAUAGGAGCUCCUGCUGCAUGGUGGGGGUUGGAAAGUUUCGGCGGUUGGGGAUGGACUCGCGGCUUAUCAGCUUGUUGGUGGGGUAGUGGCUUACCAAGGCUUUGACGGGUAGCCGGCCUGAGAGGGUGACCGGCCACAUGGGGAGUGGGUAAGGGCCCAGACCCCGACGGGGGGAAGCGGGGGGGAAGAUGGCACAAGGGGCGGAACCCUAAGGCAGCAACGCCGGGUGGGGGAAGACGGCCUUGGGGUGGGAACCCGCUUUCCCCGGGGACGAAGGGUGAGUAGCGGUAAUGGGGAAAGAAGCACCGGCCAACUAAGG